CUGAAUUAAAAAUUAACCUGAUCUGAGUGGGAGAUCUUAGCACAUCUGGGUUUGCAAUAGCUUGGAGCUGCGCCUGAACCAGUGCUAACAUCUGCCAUCAGUUUGAUCUAAAAGAAGAGAAACCCAUAGUUAACCCCAGCAGUGGACCAAUCCAGCUGUACUGAGGAAUGCUGCUUCAACCCAAUGUGAGACAGGACUGGGAGCCGACAUGGAGAUAAACAUUGCUGUGCCAACCUUGGUGCUGCCAUCUACACACUGGGUAUGAAGCUGCUUUGUACAUUUGCAUCUACCUUCUGUUUCUCACCACCGCUCAAACGUUCCCUCAGAUCCCACAUUUCAGUGAGCUAUGUUUCAGAAACCUAAAGCCACUUGUGUCCUAGUGAUUCUCUGGGAAGAGGAACAAACCAAGGACUGCCUGUCUUCUGUGCAUUCCUGAUCAGGCCUGCAAGAAGGCAGCUAUAACUGAUACAACACAUAAAGGAGAAGUACCUUGGUAAUUGGUAAAGGCUGUGCUUGCAGAACACCAGGUGGGAAGGUUCUCUGACAUUGCAGGUUUUGCUGUGACCAGGAGAUGACUGCUGUGUGCUCAGGUACUGCUUUAAUUCAUGCUGUCUGAACCUGGAGUGAUGCUACUGAUUUAAGGGAGUUUCUGCAGGCCUUCACUUUCUUAACAUAGAACUGCCAUUGCUCUGAAGUUCUAACAAUCAUGAGAAGGCAGCCAAGUUCUUUGCCACAGAGGGAAAUACAAAAUAUCAGCAGUACCAUAUAGGUUACAGCAAUGAGUCACGGUAAACAGAAGAUAUUUUUACACCUCUCUAUAUCAAUACCACUUUAAAACCAGCCAAAAUUUAAACGAUUUUCAGUCAAAUAUAUCUCUGAGAAAGUAAAUGUAAUGUAAUUAUUGAACGUAUUUGCUCUGUCUGCCUGCCUCCUUCCUGAGGCUUUAAUUGGCAUACUCAGCCUAUGCACCCUGCUUGGUAGGGUGAUGGAAACCUCUGCUGGUAAACCUGAGGAAACCUUUUUCUUUGACAGCGCUCAGAGAUACAUAAGCUAUGCUUUUAGAAGAAAUGUGAAAGGAAUAAUCAAGAAUUCCCAUCGCAUCUAGAGGCCUGGAGGGAAACACUGACCACCAAAAUGAAGACAGGGUACCUGUGGAGUAGAAACUGGAAGAGAGAACUUCUUUCUUAAGAAGGGAAUCUUCUUUUCCAGUAGAAAUUCUGGAAUGAAUUUGAACAGUAAUAUUUAAACCAGGAUAACCUUAGUGGGGGAGAAACUUAUUCUGGGUGGAGAUCUAGAUUGAACUAAAAGUUACUGAAUUGGCCAACUUCUCACGUAGGCCUGAUACAUCGAAACUUCUAUGUAAAGGUAUGUUUGUUCUCAAUGUAAUUUGCAGAAGUAUUUGCUGAAGUAUAUGAACAGGAGCAAAGUGCCUAGGCACUCACCCAAAUACUACUGGGUGCUUUGUGGAACACCUACGUUGAUUGGAGCACAGAUAGCUGAGUUUUAUGAACAUUAAUGUUGAAUCUCAGUAUUACAAGAGCAGCUGACAGUAACCACUUAUGAGCACAGUCGUGUUCUUGGUACGCUCAAGUACUUAUGAUUCAUGCCAGUGUCACUGUGGGCACUUCAGCUUUCAACCUGAUUUCAUAUUCCCUUUAUCCACUGCUGGUCAGUGAAAAGUAAAUUGCUCAUGUGAAAUGAUUUAGUCACUUAAUCACCCUUGAACAUUGGUCUCUCUAAAACGUUUGUUUUGUAAUAAAGAAUUAAUAUCAUCUUUGCAGUUAGGAACAGACACCUGCAUUUUGGCCUUGUUUUAGUGUAGCAGAUCUGCUAACACAUUCUGAUCUUUGCUUAGUACCUUUUAAAGAAGGAAAGCCAGCAAAAAAAUCUCUUAUCAUAGUUGUCCUAACAAGCACUUCACUCGCUGUUGAAUAUUUCAAUAAAAAGAGCUUCUCGUACUGGAGUCAAAGGCUAUUUUGAAGAUAUUGCUCUCAUUUUAAGACAUGAAAUCUUGCUUUGCUACAUUUUAUGAUCAAGCAUGGAGGGAGUGGAUUCUGAUCCCUUCUGAUGACUGAAAAGAGGAAAGCGCUUCAUUCCACUUUCUGCAGAUGCGCACUGGAACAGUGAGCUGCAGCACAACUGCAGAACUCUUCUGGGGGUCAGGAUCCUGCCCAGCUCCAGAGUAUGAAGGCAGUGUGCAAGGAAAGAGCUCACAGAGACUGCUGAAGUGUGUGAAGAGGAAAAAAUAACACAAUGAGGAAAAAGUACAAAAAAGCAACCAGUGCCAUGAAUAAUCCUGAAAUAUGAAUAGAUAUAUGUAUUUGGACAAGGUGGGUACUGCUCAGUAUAAAAUCCUCAACAGGAAAGCAGAGCUUAAAGAAGACCUAGGGGCAACGAUAGCUGAUGAGCAGCUUCCCACAGGAGUGAUGUGAUGGCUUGGAUGAUGUGGAGCAGAGCAAGCCAGGACAGCUCAUGGGCUGUGGAAAACUGAACUGAGUGAUGUGGAAUGACACUGGAUGGCGCUGCAGGAUGCCUAAAGGAUGUUGUGGAAGUCAGGCUGGGACUGCGAAUCUGCUGGCCUUUUUCCACUGGACACAACAGUAGCCAAGGUUUAAAUCAACAUCCCUGAAUGAUCUCUCCCGCCAUUAGAAAGCUUUUUGCUGAGCUCAACUCUCAGCUAUGAAGGGGUGGCAGGAGGGAAUCCAGAAGGGCUGCACAUCCCAGGAGUCCAGGCUUCACUCCAGUUGGGUGGAAGAGCCCCGUGCCCCAGGACUGCACUGGCAGUGAGGAGCAUUAAACUUCUGCCUAGAGGAUGCUAGACCCCUUGGCAUGACACACAGCCAUGGCCUCAGCCCUUACCCAAGGUCACAAGGUGGGCCGGUUCCCUAUGGUGGGCUCUGCACUCACAGCUCUGCAGCCCAGUGUACCAACAGCGCUCAGCUCCCAUGGCGGUGAGAGGCGUUAGCUAAUUAAACCUUCCCUCAUCUGUGGGAGAGAGAGAAAACCACAAUGGAGAAGUGAGCAAAGGGUGCUGUGUUCCUCUAAAAGCAGCCAAGGGCCCUCUCGGAUGGUUUCAGGCUUUGAAGGUACAGACUGAGCAAAGAGCUGAAGAGAAGAUUUUGUUCUUAUUUUACGUUAAGAACUUCUGCUUAAGUGUGCCCAUCAGUGCUCUCCUGAAGCUGCCAGACUUCAGAGCAAAUCACGGAACAUCCUGAGUUGGAAGGGACCCACAAGGAGCACUGAGUCCAGCUCCUGCUGCAGCCCUUUUUGAACGAUUAAAGGAACCCUUAUUUGGCCCCCAUACCCAUUCAUUACCCUUUUCAUUCUUUCUAACCCCGAGCACCUCAAGAUACAAAGACUUUGCUGCCUUCAGAUCUGUGCUUUCCCAGCUUCCCCAGUCAGCUUAGCAAACUGGUUAGCACAAGAUGUUACUCCUGGAUUUGUCCAUGUUUUCCUCACUGCUGAUUGCCUAGCAAAGCAGCCACCAGCACCAAGAGGGGCCGGCAAUACACUGUGCUGGGGUUGCUGACAUGGGAGGCUGAGUGCAGCAGGGCUAUCCUGGGCUGCUGCACGUCAGCCAGGGGAGAAGGAUUCUGAGAGAUUGUCUCUGAAAUUUUCCUCGUGGUGCACUGACUAAGAGGAGGAGUGUUGGCCUGCAGCAAGGUACAGCAGCAAUGGAAGGCUGCCAGAGUCAAAUAGAGGGAGUGCAGAUGCAACUGGAGCUUGUAAAGUGGCAAAUUGUAACGGCCUACAAUACAUCUAUACUGUUUUAUCUGCGCUGGUAUGGCUGUGCUGCUAAGGUUGUUACACAUCUCAGAAUCAGUUUUUGUUCUGAAAGCUGUGAAGUCUCUGAUUAAAAGUGAAUUAAUAUUGAGUGUGGCUGAAUACUGACAUUUGUGCUUUUAGAGGUGGUACAUCUUUGAGAACACUGUUAUAAAAGAUAAAGCAGUUUGUGUUAAGUGAGGAACUAAUGUUAAAAAACACAAUUCCCCUUCCUUCACACACCAAAUUCUUGUUUUGUUUGCUAGCAAUCAUAUCCAUUGUAGUUCUUAAAUGCCCCAAUCAGUGGAGGAGUGGAGUUCCUGAUGACUGGUUAGGCACUUCUCUCAUGAUAGUUGGCAUUCAUUAUCAAAAUGAUAAUGGCUGUGGAGGACUGUCAUGUUUGGGUUUCUCUUUAACACAUCCGAAAUGCCUUCUGUGUACAAAGAGCCUUUACAUGUGUGCUUCUUUGGAGACCUGAGAUAUGCAAAGGAUGUAGUAGCAGUUUGUUCCAGGUCAUUUGGAUUUCUGCUUUCUGUGACUUAUGUUUGUUGACUUCAAAUGCCUGCCCCACAGAAAAGCUGCAUCAUAAAGCUGUUGAAGUCAGGCAGCUCCUUCUUUUACCCGACCCUCCAAUCACAUGGAGGAAUGCAGAGUGCUGCAAAAGCAAGAUGCUGAAAAUGAAUUGCUCUGUGCUCACUGGUGUGCCCAAGGACAGUGCAGAUGUGGUUGCCAGUGCCCAAGUGCUUAUUGUUCUGGAUGUUCAUUAGUAUGGUCUCAAAUUGGCUUUGAAAUGUUGUAAAAUAAUUCCUUUGUGUUCUUAUCAUAGAAUCACAAAAUGGCCUGGGUUGAAAAGAAUCACAAUGACCAUCUAAUUUCAACCCCCCUGCUAUGUGCAGGGUCGCCAGCCACCAGACCAGGCUGCCCAGAGCCACAUCCAGACUGGAUGUUCUUCUUUCUGAUGUUUCUCUUGUUGUGUCUUAUCAAGUGCAGGUAAUGGAUCAAAGCUCUGCUGGCUGCAGUGUCUGAAGAUCCCAUUUAACCUUUACACUCUUGAAGCCAUUUCAUAGAGAUUAAAAAUGCACCGGAAUAAAAGGGAGCUCUUCAUCUCCUGGCCAUUUUUCUCACAUUUGCCAUGCCAUAAACUGGCAUCGUGCCCUAUGAAUAUCGCCCGCCUGGGGACCAUUGGCACCAUACAUUUCUGGGAGGACAAAGUGCCACGAGGAGUCUGGAGAAAUGAACUCAGCAAGGGAAGAUGUUUGUAAGGCUGCGUGGUGUUUCCAUGUUUAUUUAACUUCUGCAGAACAUGCAAUCAAUCUGCCACUCCUCACUGUUGGGAAGAAGCCCCGUGCCUGUGUGAUGCAGAAGUGUGAGCCUCGCUGCUGCUCCGCAAUAGUCCCACGUUAAUUUUGAGGGCUGACGUGCAGAGGAACGUGCUGCUGUGACCACGUGGUCUGCUCCAUCUGAAGAUAUGAUGAAUACUCUUAAAGCCUGAGCAUUUUAGGGAAAAGAAAACAAACCACGGAUUUCUUUCUUUUCUGACGCAUUUCUUUGUAUGAUGACCACACAGCUGAGUGUAUAUCUUAAUGAACCAUCCUUCUCCAAAAUGUGGUAGUGGGAAUGAAGAACUGCUGAUCUACAGUACCCAAGUGAAUCAACUGCAAUGGAAGUGAUGGAGAAAGAAUCCAUUAGCAGCAAACUUUGUGUCUGCCACUGCAGGAGAUGGUGCUGGAGCUUUGCUGGACCCCUGCUGCUCUGUAGGGAUCGCAAUAUGGGUUUUCUUGGGAUGGAGAGGCAUGGUCUGAGGACAGGUGGAGGCCAUGAGUCAGUGAGUGCUGUGACACUUUGCAGCCACAGAACUGCAGUGCAAUGGAGCUGCCUUCACCCAGAGUGUCUGGUUGCUGAAGAAAAGCUGUUUUCUGGGGAGCUUUGCCAUCACCAGAUCUGCUGGGUGCUUCUACAUGGCUGGUUGACAAACACUGCUGGGAUCCAGAGAGGCUUUCCACUUUCUUCGGAUGGAUGUGGUACAGGGAAGCCGAUUUUUCUCUUCUCUUUGUUGGUGCACAGCAAUGUUGGAAGGCAGGAGGAGACCCUGACACUGUGUGCUGCAGGAAAGUGCAUCCUUUCUGGCAUCCAAGUGAAAAUGUCAGCUUUUGAAUGCAGCAUUCUAACUACAAGACCGAUCGGAUAAUGCAGAAAAGAAAGCACAGGAGACAAAUGGUUUAUGACACUCCGGUUACCUUUACUGUGCAAGGUUUAUCAUAUGCUCGGCUCAUCCAUCUGUGUCUCAGUCUCCGGUGGACUCAUGAGUUUCAUCAAGAAAACCAUUUUCAAACCAGCAGACCAAAACAGAUCGUUUUCGACUCCCAGCCUCAUCGAGGCUUUGCAGUAGUUUUGCCUCGUGUUUACGAUUUAUGGAUGCAACAGAAACACAGAGCAGACAGGAGUGGUCCAGAGAUCUCGCCAUUGCAGGGUACGUGCUUUCAAACACUGCUCAUUCAGGUAUCGGCUCUGCAAUACUUGAAUAACUUUAUUCGGGUUAAUUCCAUUCAAUCCUUCAGGGUGAGAUGUUAAACAUGGGAUGUAACUGCAUUUAAAUUCCAGCUUCUAUCCUGUGAUGAGUGGUAGAAUUGGUUCAGGGAAUUAGGGGAGAAAAGAUGAGCUGGCGGUUAAAGCUCUACAUUGGUGCUGAAAGCAUUGGGGGCCCCUUUGUUCUCCUGCUGCAGACUGUGACCUUCAGUGAAUCGCUGGGUCAGCGGUAGUCGCCUUUAUUUCCUUAUCUGUUUGUACCAAAGCUGUUAAUAUUUGUCUAUUGCCCUUCACAAUAUUAUGCCAACGUACAUCUUACUGAAGACCUUUAAGAAUUAAUCUUAUUUGCUUAUAUGGUAAUUAGUUAUGUAGUCUUGCCAGAUUUGGUAAAAACAACAACAACAACAAAACUAAAAUCAAAACCAAAAACCAAGCAAGAAAUAGAUUUUCAGACUGCAGGGUAAUUAUUUCUAUGCUAUGAAUUCUCAAGUCCCUCUUCUUUUCGAUCUCUCCAUCCAGCCGCUUCUUCACAAGAGAUCGCGCUGGGGAGGGAAUCAAUACAGCCAGAGCCCUGGGACUAAUCCGGGGAGAUGUCACGCAGCCCUGACGUGAUGUCUCUGUCUUUUCUCCCUGAAAAACAUGGGGGGAGGGAGGGGGGUGAUGCUAAACCUAUCACAUCCUGAUAACUCUAAUAAGUGUAAUAGAAAAUGAGGCAAAACAGAACAAUCCCCAGCCUGACAUGGGCCUUACUGGUGCAGGCAGACAAGCAGCUGUUGAUUUUGUUAUAAAAGUUAUUUAUUUCCAGCUCUCCUCUUCCGUGCCAUUCUCUGUUUUGAUUAUAUGAAGAUGAAUGUUUCUUGAAGGAAACAGUCCUUAAUUUUUGAGAUGGAAGUAAAUAUCUUAUUGCUUUAAUGUUAAGUGUUGACAUAAUGAUAUCCAACCCUAUGAGGCUUAAGGGGGGAAAAUGCUUCCUUUACCUUUCAUUCCCUUUACCUUUCAUUCCCUUGCCACUCAACAGUGCUGAAGAAAGUGAAGUGCUGAAGAAAGAUAUAGGCCUUGUGGUCUUUCCUGACAGUCAAUAAAUUGGAGUUUUGUCAGGCCAAAGAGAUGCCAUAAAGAGGGCAGAUUAAAAGAGAUUAGUUCUGCCAAGUAGCCUGAGAAGAGAAUUUAGUGCUGCUGUGGCCACAGGCAGAGCCAGCACCAUGUGGUCAAGGGCAGGGAGAGCCAUGUGCUACUCCUGUGGGGCUCCUGCACUGCUGCAAUAGCACUGUCUGGGCUGGAGGGGAGGCGAAGGGGAGGGUGAGAGGCACUUGGGCUCAGUUUUCCAUCUCUGCUACAUUUUGCAAGAAGCACACCUCUGAUUUCUGCAUUCCCUUUGCUCUGGUUGGUGGUUGCUAUUGCUGUUGAAGUUGUAUAAUUGAACACAGAGGCAAAACAGUCACUUAAAAUGUUUUUAGUAUCCACUCAAUGCAGUGGGGCUAUUGCACAGUGAUGCAUGUGCCAGCGUUCACAUUGGUGGAACUUCAAAACAAAAGGCAAAAUUUGCACAGGGAACGGUCCUCAGAGUGCCUGUGGGGUGCCCCCAAGACCAAGGCAUGGGGCGUGAAGGCAGGGAGAGGAGGUGGAGAGCUGGUCAGAAGCAUUGGACUAAACUGACUUUAGUCCAAGGCAUCCAGAGCUGCAGAAGACUGUUGUGGUACCACUGAAUAUUUGGAUACCUUAGAAAAAACAAAUACAAAAUUCAAAUUUACCUUCUGACAGGUCUGAAAACGUAGCAAGUACAGGCAUCAUCCCAGGGCUUGUGUUGGCUGACAGAGAGUUGUUAAUUCUGGUGUUCAUGGCUCAAAGCAUCCCCUGCCUUCAAACAGCAGCAUGGCUGAGUGCACCAUGAGAAUACACAGGUAGCACUGUCAGAGAAGGUGUGGCUGGAAACAGGAAUAAAGCAGGGGUGUGUGUUUUGGAAAGGGAGAGCUUUUACCAAAGAAGCUGGAGAGGGACAGAGGGGUUUUGCUGACACAACCAUGACCGUGUGCUUCAGCUCCUGAAGAGCAGAGUAGUGUUAGUCCUUUUCUUCAGACCAGAAGGCAAAGAGCCAGGAUAGAGCUAUUUCAUGGCACACAGGAAGACAGAAUGUGUCUUUAUUGCCCGUGCUGUCUCACAGAAGGACAGCAAGACACCAGAAUUUGAUGGUCAAGAAUGCCUUCUAUUAAACACGAAAAAGAUCAGUGUGUCUGAGUGUAUAAAAAGUAGAGUUAAAUGUACCUGUUUAAUAAUCUAGCCUUGGUUUGUCACAGGUUAAAUUACUUGGGAUGUGUUUUUCCUUGGUUUUAACAGCAAUUUCUAGUUUCCAGUAUAGAUGCAGACGUUCUGUAAGUCUGUACAAUUUGUCAGUGCAAAUACGACGUUCCUGUUGCCACCAAAUGUUUCCUCUUAAACCCUAGAAAAUCCCUUUUUAUGUUAUUUAACAAAAGGAGAUAAGGUGAGGACAAGGAGUUUAAAUGCUUGGAGUUAAUAAAAUAGAUAUAAAUGUCAGAAUCUAAAUAGAAAUGUCAGUAUCUAACCCAUCAUUUUAAAAAUCCGCUGUAUAUUUCUAGAAUUACUUUGAAAUAUUUUAAGAUAGAAGAUAUAAAAGGAAGAAUAUUGCAUCCAUGAAGAUGAUUCAAUAACACACCUUUCCUUGUGAUUUUAUUUGCCCGUGGAGGAACUAUUCUACAGAGAAUAGCUCAUCCAAAAGCUUAUUUUUUCUACUUGAUAAAAAGGACAUUGGUUUACUUCCAGAGAUUGAAUGUUCUGGCCCCAUUUGUUUCACUUGAGAGAAUUAAAUGCAAAAUAAGUAGGGAGAAAAGCUCGGUAAUAGUAAGAUACAUGACAUAUUUGUUUUAUGUAUAUCUUGCCUGCUUACCAAAGCCUUCAAAUGGUCCACUCAAAUUUAUCUUAAUGUUAAAGUCGAUGCUUUUUCAUUCAUAAAUGAUUAUAUGCGCAAAACCGCUGACACAAAACAAAAUACAGAAGGUUAAUUCCUCCCUGUGAAAGCCUGUCUGGAAAUGUGAAUCCUGUAAUUUACUUUGCGAAAUAGUAAUGCAGGGGUUGUAUUUCAUUUGUGAAGCGUGCUGCGCAUGGGGACUGCUAUGCAAGAGUAGUAUUCCCAAGCACCACCACCAUAAAGUGAUAACAGACAUCUUUCCAGUAAGUAAUUGAAUGCCACAUGCCCAUUGGUGAUGGAGCUGAGAAUGCAAACGUGAAACCAUAGGAACUGUUUGCAAAGGUUUGUGAGGUUGCCUUGCUCUACUUCAAAGCCUUGGUCUUUGAGCAGUCAUCCCAUCCUCGAGCGAUCAAGUGAAUCUCUUGAAGUAAUUAAUUACUGGUUAAUUGCCAGGCAGGUUACUGUCCUGUAUAAUAAAAUUCCUGGAGAUUUUGCUUGCUGUAAUAAGGUCCUGGAUUUUUGUCGGUGUUUGUGUUAAGUCUGAACAACCUAAGGUAGGUCCACAGCUUACAUUGGUGCACCGAUCUCAAAGAAGUGCUCAUAAAUCUUUAAAAAUCAUCAUCUGGCACUGCUUCAGUGAAUGAAGGGAAUGAAAUGAAAAUCCUGAAAUUAGUUUUUUGGGAAGCUUAAUUAUAAUAACUGCUAAUACAAAGUGCUAGGAGAUAAGACCUGUACGUAACAAAAACAAUUAGAAGGCUGCAAGACAAACUCUUCUUUUGAAGCAGUCACCUCUGAGAAAUGAGUCUUUCCCAUCAAAUAUCCAAUAGAAUUUUAAAUCGUUUUGCUGUGAAAGGCACUGUGUAGAUUUCAGCUGGGCAAAGCAUUUCAGUGUGAUCCUAAGUUCUUUGUCAGCUUCGGCGUGUCACAUGUGAGUUGCAAAAAUACAUAUCAGCCAGAAAAUGAAUUGUGGGAUUGACUGUGGCUCCAGCAGUAGGAUUGCUUUUCAUGAGUGAGUGAGCAGGGGCAACGUCUGAGAUGUCAACAGCUGCAACACCGAGGGCAUCCACUCCAAAUGGGCACACAGGUUGUGGCUUUCCUCAUUCGCAUCCACUCCAAAUGGGCACACUGAUUGUGGCUUUCCUUAAUCCGUUUUCACUAACCACAUCCUGCCCAAGGAUGUGUAAGCACAGGUGCUAGCCAUUGCUCAGAGGCUGCUUGUAUUACCACUUACCUUGUAAAUUCCCAUAACAUCCCCAAAGUAAGUUGUGAGACAGUAGUCAGUAUUAAAUAGUUCAUAUAAUGCUGUAGGAAUUCUGACAUCUGACUGUGGCAGAGUAUGGCUAUAACAGCACAAUUUGUUGAAGCUGGCUGCUGUGUACUGAUCUCACUGUCUGCAAUACUUCAACUUGCUGGUCACUGGAUUUCCUGUUUGACUGCGCCAACACUGCAAAUAUGAUACUAAUGAUUUUGGCUUUGUUAGUUGUUCUGUACAAUCUCCGAAAACUUGCUUUAUGUGACAAAACUUGGUUGUGUGGCAGAAAAAAAAAAAAGAAAAGAAAAGAAAAAAAAAAAACAGUUUGCCAAACUUCUCCUGAAUGCAGGUACUGCAUCCUGUCUUUGGGAUCAAGGUCAUCAUGUGCCAUGCUGAAUGCCAUGCAUGAGCCUGGCUCCAGCUCUGCUGACAAAGCGUGAUUCCUCCAGUGAUGGAGCAUUGGGCAGAUGGAGGCCCUGGGGUCUGCCUGGAGGAGAGCUAGAGCUCAGAGUGCAGAAAUAUUAACGCCAAGUCUGGUUAUUUUUCAAAUCUGAGCUCAGCUUGUAGAUACACUUGGAUAUUUUAAAAGCUUAAAUUAGCAUUCAAAGACCUGCUGGCAAUUUUGGGUCCAGAUUUUGGUCUUACUGCCUUUGUGAAAAGUAAGAAUGUUUAAGUAGAAAUUGGCACUGCAAACAGGACAGAUUUUAGCUUGUUUAAGCUGAAUUUCUAGAAUUGCUUUGCUCUUCUUCAGGUUGUGUGAGCUUCCAAGUUGGAGUUUUGUCUGGGGGAGUAAUGCAUCCUCUGGGCACUGCAGGUUGAAGAAUAUCACCAGCUCAGCUCUGGGCAAUUUCCAUGGUGAAGUCACGAAUCUGCUCUGAUUGAAGUCCAGUUCUGCAUCACUUCCCUCAGUCUGGGGCUUUAUCGCAGGUACCCUCAUCUGUGGCAGUUUGGAUAGAGCCAGGGUGCUUUGUGUGCAUUACACCAGCCUUUCCAGCAAUUACUGGCCACACAUUAGCAUCUUUUUGCUGGGCUGAUGAAGGACGGCUUGUGGCACUGGCAGCCAGAUGGACUUGCUGCAGUCUCUAUGCUGAAAUUCUGCUGUGUUUCUUUUCUUUUCUGUUACAUUUAUUUACUACUUCUCUAUUCUGUAUUUGAUCUUGGAAACAAGGUAAACCUUCACUAGCAAAACCAAAUGGCUCAAGCAGAAAAGAAAUGUUGGAAUUUUGUAACACAUCACAUAAAAAAAAUUGCAAGUUGAAGUUUUUGCACUCUCCUUUGCAUCUUUCCUUUUCAGAUUUUACUGCAAGUGUAAAAGUGGAGCAGAGACCUGUGGGCUUUGCAUUCCGAGGCCUGGCUUUGGAACAGAUAAGUGCAUGCUUGGUUGGCUUCAGGAAACCAACAGAAUGACUUGUAGGCAUCUGCAAAGUUUUUGAGUGACUUCCACAAAUGUUUAUGCUUAUUAAGGACUGGAAGUUAUUCUCUGCACUGUAAUCACUUAUGAAUACACUUAAAUUAACACUUGCGGCUCUCUGUAGUAAUAUUGGCUGCGUAGGACACUAUUUGCAGAUUCAGGGCACAAGUUUCUGGGGUAAAUUUUUAUUUUGAUGUUCCUUUCACGCUCUUAAGCUUUCAGAAGAUUACAGAAAUCUGGCCAGACCACAGCUAAAAUGAGCAAAGCGUAGAGCCAUUCCGUUUGAUGUUCGUGACAAAAAGACUGGGAAGAGCAAAAAUAUGAAAAAUCAAUACUUCGAAAUCUCUGUCUUUCACAAAAGAUUUAAGAACAACCUCCUCCCUGCAUCUUCGUUUGAGCUUUUGCUGAAAGAUGUAGUUUUCAGAGAAGCUAUUUCCAAGAGGAGGGUGCGGAAGGAGCUGGAAGAACAAUGAGCAAUUUACACAGUUGUUCUGCACAGCGUUGUGUGGCUCCAAAGGCCAGGGGGAAGGCAGCAGAAAGACAGGCAUUCCUUUCUCCCUGCAAAGGCUACUGACUCCCAUUGCAUGAAACAUAGCCAGCUUUUAUUUAAAUUGAUAUAUUUGUUUGAUCUUUAGGAUUGUGGACUUCACUCUGACAGCCCAUGAGAUGUGGUAACCAGAGCUCUGCUUCUAAUUUCUGUAACAUUUAAUUAAAAGGAAUGAAGAGAGGAUUUUCUUGCCCUCUGAAGUCACUGUGUCUUGCACUCAUCUCUCUCUCUUUUUUUUUUUUUUUUUUUAUUUUUCAGUGACCAGUAACCUUGCAAGAAAAAUCAGCAAGCAGACAUUCCAUUACAAUAGGAACAAAUGGUAAACGAUAGCAUUAAAGGUAACUUUCCAUUACUUUUGGUGAUGUGAACCAGAACUACUUUUAAAUAAUGACUGGCACCAGCAAAUAAAAACAGAAAUAUGUAUCAAAGAAUGAACUGUAAUUGCUCUGAUUUCGCUGAGCACUGAGACCUCCUAUAGGAGAGAAAUGUGAUUUUGAACAUGGAAAUAAAAACAGGAGUUCAUUUCAGGGAAGUCCCGGUGCUUUUGCAGAAGUUUUCUCCCUAGCUUCCUGCAAAACUGGGUUACUACACUUGCUUAUUGUCAGGGCGUAAUUACUUCAAAUGGAAUUAGAGAUUAAAAGUGCACAUCCAACACUGCACCCUUCACCUUCCCCUGUCCCUUCCAUGCAACUAUGGGGCUGGGAGCAUUUCCUCCAUGAAAACUUGGUGGAAAUAUCUUGAAUGUGCCAAUGUCUGGGAAGGGAACAUCAUAUUUUCAGCAUUUCUUCUGAGCUUCUGAGCUACUCCAUGCCACCAAGGAUGGAGCCAACCACUGACACUGCUGCCAAAACAAUGAAUUCUUUCAUCAGCUCCUAAGUGCCAUCUGUGCUCACGUGUCAUACGGCCUCAGCACUCCAUGUUCAGCCCUAACGUGCUUGGCUAUUUGCAGUGCAUCAGACUCAAUAGGCUGGGAAUGAGUCAUGUUUACUUGCGUUUUGUUUUUGCUGUGUAGAAUUCUCUUUCACUAGAAGAACUUCAGCUCUGAGACAAACAGCUGUUGCUGACACACUUUAAUUAAAAUGGAAGGCUGGCUUGAAGAUUUCUUUCAUUUUAAUACGCAACAAUAACAAGAUGGAAGUGAAAAAGCACAGAUAAGUUGGGAGGAGAAGGGAGAAAUAAAUGCUGUCUGUACUACUAAAAAAUUGCCUCUACGUUAAUUCUUGGAGACAAAUUCAAUUUCACUGGCUUCAGAAUCCAGGCAGGUUACUUUGGAAAAUGUCCUACCUGAGAAAUUCUUUGAAAGUGCAGAUCCAUGGGAAGUGCUCUUGUAAUUACUGUUAUGUUGUCGCCUCUACACUGGAGCAUGGGACUGUGUUCACAUCAUCAUUCAUCAUGCUGCGAGUUCAAUAGUGUCUCCAUGUUAAUUAAAGACUAUUUUUAGUUACCUCAAGGUUGUUUUAUUUUUUCUUCCACUGAUGUCUAUAAUAAACGAGAUGUGAAUCAAAAUAAAGCCAUUCCCAUAUUUUAA